rnacentral:rRNA from 1 species
UACGGGGGGAGCAAGCGUUGUUCGGAUUUACUGGGCGUAAAGGGCGCGUAGGCGGCCAGCACAAGUCAGUUGUGAAAUCUCCGAGCUUAACUCGGAAAGGUCAACUGAUACUGUGCGGCUAGAGUGCGGAAGGGGCAACUGGAAUUCUUGGUGUAGCGGUGAAAUGCGUAGAUAUCUGGAGGAACACCGGUGGCGAAGGCGGCAUCCUGGACCAACACUGACACUGAGGAGCGAAAGCCAGGGGAGCAAACGGG